AGUCCGGGCUCCCAGCGUUCCAGCCGGCCUAAUUCCUCGAGGUCCAAGUUCAAAGAUCGCACCAUCAGAUCCCCGGAGUGAGCGGAUCCAGCCUCCCAAACGCUUGCUGCCCUCCACUAAGAUCACCUGGGUCCAAAAGGUCCCUCUGACUCUCCGUCUGUUCUAUUCUGGCGGCCUGCGACUGCGCUUCUCUCUCCUGCUUCCGGAUUGGUGGGUCUUGGAAAGCGGGUUCUGGAUUGGUGGACUCUGGAUACAUCCACCAAUGAAAACACCGAACUGGCAGUGACGCUGCCGGCGGAGCAACAGAGUCAGCCCCAUGGAACAGGUUAACCCGUUCUUUGCCUAAUCGGAGUUAGUUGCAGUAGCCGGCGUGGCCUUCCCCAGGGCCAAGGCAGCAAAAUGCUGAAUCCGGGAGUUAGCAUUCCCCAGCUCAAGCUUCCCAGGCCUCCUCGCAACUUCACAGGUCUCAAGGUUUGUCGUCCCGGUCCUACACUAGUGUUGAGGUGCAAGUCUGGGGCCUGCUCAAUCUGGUCUUUUCCUUCUGCUCUGAGAGCGCCCCCGCCUGGAGACGGAAUUUGGUCCCGGAAAGGCUCCAGUGGAACCAAAGUUCUGGAUCUUCAUUUCCUCUUAGCGGCAAAUACAAACAUGAACAUCACCUUUUCUUAAUAAAUUUAUUCACAAAAAGUGA